rnacentral:rRNA from 1 species
CCUACGGGAGGCAGCAGUGAGGAAUAUUGGACAAUGGGCGCAAGCCUGAUCCAGCCAUGCCGCGUGCAGGAUGACGGUCCUAUGGAUUGUAAACUGCUUUUAUACAGGAAGAAACACCCCGACGUGUCGGGACUUGACGGUACUGUAAGAAUAAGGAUCGGCUAACUCCGUGCCAGCAGCCGCGGUAAUACGGAGGAUCCAAGCGUUAUCCGGAAUCAUUGGGUUUAAAGGGUCCGUAGGCGGUUAGAUAAGUCAGUGGUGAAAGCCCAUCGCUCAACGGUGGAACGGCCAUUGAUACUGUUUAACUUGAAUUAUUAGGAAGUAACUAGAAUAUGUAGUGUAGCGGUGAAAUGCUUAGAGAUUACAUGGAAUACCAAUUGCGAAGGCAGGUUACUACUAAUGGAUUGACGCUGAUGGACGAAAGCGUGGGUAGCGAACAGGAUUAGAUACCCUGGUAGUCCACGCCGUAAACGAUGGAUACUAGCUGUUGGAAGCAAUUUCAGUGGCUAAGCGAAAGUGAUAAGUAUCCACCUGGGGAGUACGUUCGCAAGAAUGAAACUCAAAGGAAUUGACGG